rnacentral:tRNA from 1 species
UCCCUGAUGGCUCAGCAGUAAGAGAAUCUGCCUGCAAUGCAGGAGGCAUGGGUUCAAUUCCUGGGUAGGGAA